UAGGGAAUUUUCCACAAUGGGGGCAACCCUGAUGGAGCAACGCCGCGUGCAGGAUGAAGGCCUUCGGGUUGUAAACUGCUUUUAUCUGUGACGAUUAUGACGGUAGCAGAUGAAUAAGGACCUGCUAACUACGUGCCAGCAGCCGCGGUCAUACGUAGGGUCCAAGCGUUAUCCGGAAUUACUGGGCGUAAAGAGUUGCGUAGGUGGCAUAGAAAGCGGACAGUGAAAGCGUGUGGCUCAACCAUACAUCCAUUGUCUGAACUCCUAAGCUAGAGAACGAGAGAGGUAGAUGGAAUUCCUGAUGUAGGGGUAAUAUCCGUAGAUAUCAGGAGGAACACCGAUGGCGUAGGCAGUCUACUGGCUCGUUUCUGACACUAAGGCACGAAAGCGUGGGGAGCAAACAGG
rnacentral:rRNA from 1 species